CAGGGAUUGCCCCAGUAACGGCGAGUGAAGCGGCAACAGCUCAAAUUUGAAAUCUGGCCCCUCGGGGUCCGAGUUGUAAUUUGUAGAGGAUGCUUUUGGUGAGGUGCCGCCCGAGUUCCCUGGAACGGGACGCCACAGAGGGUGAGAGCCCCGUCUGGCUGGCCACCGAGCCUCUGUAAAGCUCCUUCGACGAGUCGAGUAGUUUGGGAAUGCUGCUCAAAAUGGGAGGUAUAUGUCUUCUAAAGCUAAAUAUUGGCCAGAGACCGAUAGCGCACAAGUAGAGUGAUCGAAAGAUGAAAAGCACCUUGAAAAGAGGGUUAAAUAGUACGUGAAAUUGUUGAAAGGGAAGCGCUUGUGACCAGACUUGGGCGCGGCGGAUCAUCCGGGGUUCUCUCCGGUGCACUUCGCCGCGUCUAGGCCAGCAUCAGUUCGUCGCGGGGGAAAAAGGCUUCGGGAACGUGGCUCCUCCGGGAGUGUUAUAGCCCGUUGCAUAAUACCCUGCGGUGGACUGAGGACCGCGCAUCUGCAAGGAUGCUGGCGUAAUGGUCACCAGCGACCCGUCUUGAAACACGGACCAAGGAGUCGUCUUCGUAUGCGAGUGUUCGGGUGUCAAACCCCUACGCGUAAUGAAAGUGAACGCAGGUGAGAGCUUCGGCGCAUCAUCGACCGAUCCUGAUGUUCUCGGAUGGAUUUGAGUAAGAGCAUACGGGGCCGGACCCGAAAGAAGGUGAACUAUGCCUGUAUAGGGUGAAGCCAGAGGAAACUCUGGUGGAGGCUCGCAGCGGUUCUGACGUGCAAAUCGAUCGUCAAAUAUGGGCAUGGGGGCGAAAGACUAAUCGAACCUUCUAGUAGCUGGUUUCCGCCGAAGUUCCCCCUCUCAG
rnacentral:rRNA from 1 species